UUCGUAACAAGUAUUUGGUAACAGAACAAAAUCACCGGGGAGUAAUCAAUCACGGAUGAGUCAUGUCACCAUCUUUCCUUGUUGGUACAGAUCUCCCUCUCCUAAGCAAUCCAUGGGCCCUUGCCGAAAACGUACUCUCACCUGAUCCGAACUUAAAAGGACCUAGCUCCUCGUUCACCAAUCCAUUGGCCUUUCUUUUAUUUGUACGGAGUAGUAGCUAGAGAAAACAAUUUUUCUUUUUUGCAGAACAUGUGGCGGCGGACGAACGAGGGCAGCUACGGUCGACGAACUAAGGGAGCGGUGACGGCAUAUGUGAGCCCUCAUCUCCUUUCGGUUCCAGAUCCAUGGCAGUAGUGACGGUCCUCCUCGUCCUCAUUCACCCUGGUAGGAGGCCGUGGCUGAGCCGCCGUAGGAGGUGGCCGGCGUAGCCACCAGCGGGGGAGAGAUGGGGCAGGCCGCCCCUCCUCACGGACGCACCAGAACGAACGUCUCACAUGCGGCAUCGGUGGAGGAGACGUCCACCGUCUCGCACUCAGCAGCGGGAACAACAGAUGUGGCGGUCCUCGUUCGGCCUUAAUUCCAAGUCAUGCCUGGAGCUUUGGUCUGCAGCUACAUGUGAUUAGAAAGGAUAUCUUAGGAUAAAGGUAAGAUUGGAACCUGAAGGGGAUUAUAUCAUAUGCUUUGGCGUGUAAGAGUGUACAACUUUCUGUGACUUGGCCUGAAGUUCAGAUAUUUUGCAGUCAAUGUAUAUCCACAAAGUUCCUUUGUAGCUCACGCUACAUGGAACCUCUUAUCCUCAACCCUUUAGCCUUGCUUUGAGAUCCGUACUCUCCAAUUAACUAACAACAACAAGAUUUCUCUUUUUUGUUUCUCUAAAAUGAAACAACAUAUGAACUUCAAACUUUGCAGAUCGAACAAACAUUAGAACAUCAAUGUGUGAAAAAAAAUUCAGAUUUUUUUGUCUGAUAUAAAUAUACAAAAUGAGAUUUUCUUUGAAUAAAAAUAUUAUUUCAAGUAUUUAAAAAGCAUGAAAAAAUCUGAAAGUUUUUCCCAGGUUGUAGUUAGAAUGUAUUGUUGUUCUGCAAAAUUUAAAGUUUAUAUGUUGUGUCGUUUGAGAGAAACAAAAAAGACAAAUGUGUCUGCACAGAUCGCGAUGCAUAAAUGGAUGGCAAAGAUAAGGGGUACCAUGUAGCCUGAGCUACAGAAAACCAUGUAUAUCUAAGGUAGAGUCUUCUUUUUUUCCUUCGGUUUGGGAUAGAGAGGGUAGAGUCUUAUUUUUUCCUUUCGGUUUGGGAUAGAGAGGGUUACGUUUUUUCGAAAAAUAAGAUUUCGUUCUUCUGUUUCACCAUUGUUCAUGUUUAUACAGUUUUGAGAGGCACUUAACUUAAUUUUCCUUUUAAAUUGACUGAUUGUCAACAAAAGAGAUGAAAAUAAUAUUUCAAAUUGAUCAAAAAAUGUGGAAACACGAGAUUUUACAAAGUGAGCUCACACACAAUGUCAAUAAUUGAAAACGGAGUGGAAUGCAGAGUAAAGAGAAAGAUGUCGCUUUAGUAGAUGGCCUCUAAGGAGGCAUGAGGAUUGCAUGUGAGGGAAGGAGAAGCGGACAUUACCAAAAAAAAGGAGAAGCGGACAUGAUCAAUUUGCUACUAUAUGAAUGGAGACCACAUGCCAUUAUGUUGACACACAAUUCUCAAUUAGAUAAAUUGUUUCAUUACUUUAUUUAAUCUCUAUUCUAUGGCAACGCAAUGGCAUUAAGCUAGGAAGGAGGAGCUCAUGGGAGCAAGAGAAUAUGAGAGGAAAGAUAAGUUUACUCAUAAUUCACAAAUAAAUUUUCUUUAUCUAAAUCUUGUAAUUGUUCCAUGUGUGAAUCUGUCUUACGUUAACAACUAUGAGAUUUUGUGCUUAAAAUUCAAAGUGUGGGCGUGAGCCGGAUGAGGUAUAAACGAAGGUGGCGAACAUUGUUGGGGGAGAUGAAGAUACGGGGUUGCGGAAGAAGACGAGUGUUCGACUAAUGGUAGAACAAAAUCAACUACGUUUCAUUAAAAAAAUGAUGACAUAUAUAUAUAUGCAUGUAAAUUCUAAAGGCGUACAUCUAUUGUCAAUUUUGUGUCCUUGUUGAAAGCACGGGCAGUUAACUAUUUUUCCUAAUGACCAUUUCUUGAAAAUCGCCUUAACUAUCCCAUCUUUAUUGACUUACGAAAUAAAUCAUAUUUUGUUUGGUAAGUCAAUAAGUGAUUAAAAUAUAAAAUUAUGGACUGGAUUUACAUUUAUUUACGGAAUCAUGUAAUAUGGACAGGUAAUUUGUGGGCUAAUGUAUAAAAAUAUUUAUACCCCGUAGCAAGGCACGGGCAAAUUCCUAAUUUUAGGUUAAACAUACAGAUCGACGGCUGAGAUCCUCGUUACUUCGACAGCUCGUCGAACGCACGCGAUAAAAAAACAGCUAGCUAGAAAAAUCUGAAAAGCCCCGCACGCACACACCUCUCUGAUGCUAUCUGUUCGAAGCCUUGAACCCACACCGGACCCUGCAGCCCUCUUCCGGCCGCUACCUCUCUCACCCCACGUAUGCCGCUACCCAUAUGAGCUUGUCCAGGCUGCCACCAGCCAUACAUCGUGCGUCGCCGUCUCUUCCCCACGGUCCCCUUCUUCCCUCUCCGCCGCCUCUCUCGGAUCUUUGAGAAGCUCGACGUUGCCACGCCGGAGAACGCGCGCUGUGUCCCUCCGAAUCACGCCGGGGCCACAUCUUCUUCUUCAACUCCGACAUCGCGCCGCCGUGUCGCCGAUCUCUGCGAGCAAACCCUAGCCAAAUUUUCAUAUCCACCCUGAGAUCCUGACCUGCCCGCCUGCUGAUGCAGACGGAGGCGCGGGUGGGCGGUGUCGUUGUCGCCCGCCGGGGCGCCGGCCGCUAGAAUCAGGAACGUCGGCACCGCCACCAUGGCGCACCUCGCUGCUGACGGGAUCGCGCGGACGUCGUCAGCAAGACCUGCACCAGGCCCCCUCCCCUGCCUCACCAUACUCUUACAUGUUAUUGUUUCCUGCUCCCUAUUCUCUCUUGCUUUCUUGUAUGACGGAUUGGGGAACUCAGUGCUGGAGAGGGAAAUUCUCAUAAAGAUUCGGGGGCUGAAAAAGUACGGGAUAAACCUUGGGGUUGUAUCAAACGAAGGAAUUGAAGUGUUUAUGUGAGUGGCUGACCCGUGGUGGAGGUGUGUGAGCAGCCCAUCCCCGGUCUGUGUGAUCAGCAUGUCCACGUCUCCCAAUCUGCCGGCUGCCACUUCUCAACACUGACCUCGAGAAUCCUCGGAUGGAUUUGCAGGCUAUGGAUGAAUGCCGCUCCAUUGGUCUAACACAGCCGGUUCAUGUUUAGCAUUUGGCAACAUAGAAUUUUGUCGACGUACGGCUUGGGCUUGGAAAUUUUGUCAACAUCAAUUUUGACAAUUUCGUGAUGAAGCACGAGCGGGUGCUAACCAUAAGUGAUCGGAAGCCUGCAGCAUGUGCAAUAUGUGGUCUUGUGUUACAGUUGAUCAGUCUACGUGGCCAUCAGAUUACAGUUUUGGAGGUUUGAUAGUGUGCUUGAGCGGGGAUACCAGACUUCCAAUCUUGAAUGGACAGGAACGUAUUGUCAAUUGGAUGUGCUCUGUGAAACUAAGACAAAGGUAUAUCUAAAAUACCAGUUAAAUGGAUGUCUAUCUAUAUAUGUUCUAUUUCUAAAGAAAAUGGUGCAAUCAUUUCUUUCCUAACUGAAAAUUCAAAGCUUAAUGUUCCAUCUUAUAGUAGUUUUGUGUGGGUUGUAAAUCACAUGAAUAUCUGUACAUUGGUGCAUCUACUAAAGAUAAUCAGGGAGUCGCUGGUUUUGGGACUAUUGGAAGGUUAGAGCUUUCAACAUGCAUGUCGUCUUAACUCUAUGAAGUCCUUUAUUUGAAAAAAAAAUCAUUCUGAAAAAUAAGUUGUUCUUCUCUCUCUACAGUUCAAUGAAAAGAUGGAAUGGUGACCUGCAUCUUAUUGUUUGUUGACGAAAUAGCCCUUAUUCGACUAAAGAGAAAUUGGACUGAUAUCAUCAAGCUGGAAAAGUUUUUGUGUUGUCCCUUUGGUCAGAAUAUCAACGCUUAAAGAUGCUGAAGUUUUCUAGUUAACCUGAUGUAGGUACUUCAUUUUGUUAGUCAGAAUUAUCCAGGUAGUUGGUUAUGUAUGCAGACUGGGUAUUGCUGUUACAAGGCUCGAAACAAAUUGGAGACACAUGGUCUGCUGGAUUGGCGUUUGUAUAAUUAUGGGCAUGCAAAAUCACGGAUGGAUCUAGAUCCAGAUUAUGAUAAGACUAGAUGUAUGACAUAGUAAAGUUUGAAGAAUGAUA